CAGACCUGAAAUCAGGCGAGGUUACCCGCUGAACUUAAGCAUAUUAUUAAGCGGAGGAGAAGAAAAUAACUAUGAUUCCCUUAGUAACGGCGAGUGAACCGGGAUCAGCUCAAAGUGGAAAUCAACUGCUCUUUCCGAGCUGUUGACUUGUAGCCUCGAGAGGCGUUACCAGUGGAAGCGCAGGGUUAAGUUUCUUGGGAAAGAACAUCAUAGAGGGUGAGAAUCCCGUCCUUCCCCUGCGUUUUUUGUUCCACGUACGGUACGCUUUUAUAGAGUCGCGUUCAUCGGGAUUUGAGCGCAAAAUGUGUGGUAGGUUUCACAUAAAGCUAAGUACUGGCGCGAGACCGAUAGCAAACAAGUACCGUGAGGGAAAGAUG
rnacentral:rRNA from 1 species